UACAAGAUAUACCAGUUGCCUUUCCUGAAAGUAGUUAUUCAAAUGCUGGGAUUCUUAGUUGUAAUUGUUGCAUAUGCAUAUAUGUUGUUAUUUGACUACAAUGAUGAUGGCAUUACCUCUACUGACUGGUUCAUCAUAGUGUGGAUGGUCAGUUUUUUGGUGGAUGAAAUCAAACAGGUCAUUGUUGCUUUAAUAAGAGAACAAAUGAAAA